GCUGUGAUGUCCGAGUGGUUAAGGAGUUUGACUCGAAAUCAAAUGGGCUCUGCCCGCACAGGUUCGAAUCCUGUUCGCAGCG
rnacentral:tRNA from 1 species